AAGCGUGCGCAGGCGGUUAUAUAAGACAGAGGUGAAAUCCCCCGGGCUCAACCUGGGAACUGCCUUUGUGACUGUAUGGCUAGAGUGUGUCAGAGGGGGGUAGAAUUCCACGUGUAGCAGUGAAAUGCGUAGAUAUGUGGAGGAAUACCGAUGGCGAAGGCAGCCCCCUGGGAUAACACUGACGCUCAUGCACGAAAGCGUGGGGAGCAAACAGGAUUAGAUACCCGGGU
rnacentral:rRNA from 1 species